GGARGGCAGCAGGCGCGCAAAUUACCCACUCCCGGCACGGGGAGGUAGUGACGAAAAAUAACGAUACGGGACUCUUUCGAGACCCCGUAAUCGGAAUGAGCACAGCCCAAACCCUUUCACGAGGAUCCAUUGGAGGGCAAGUCUGGUGCCAGCAGCUGCGGUAAUUCCAGCUCCAAUAGCGUAUAUUAAAGUUGUUGCGGUUAAAAAGCUCGUAGUUGGAUCUCAGCGCGGGACGGGGGGACCGCCCAACGGCGGACAUCCGCCCGGAUCCCGGCAGUCGGCCGGUUUCCCCGGGAUGAUCUUCGCCGGUCGUCCGGGGUGACCGGCGAGUUUACUUUGAAAAAAUUAGAGUGCUCAGAGCAGGCGCGACGCCUGGAUAAUGGUGCAUGGAAUAAUGGAAUAGGACCUCGGUUCUAUUUUGUUGGUCGUCGGAACCCGAGGUAAUGAUUAAGAGGGACAGACGGGGGCAUUCGUAUUGCGACGCUAGAGGUGAAAUUCUUGGACCGUCGCAAGACGAACCACUGCGAAAGCAUUUGCCAAGAAUGUUUCCAUUAACCAAGAACGAAAGUUAGAGGUUCGAAGGCGAUCAGAUACCGCCCUAGUUCUAACCAUAAACGAUGCCAGCCAGCGAUCCGGCUGCGUUCCUAGAAUGACGCGCCGGGCAGCUUCCGGGAAACMAAAGCUUCUGCGUUCC
rnacentral:rRNA from 1 species